rnacentral:tRNA from 1 species
GCCCCCGUAGCUCAGUGGAUAGAGCGGCGGCCUUCUAAUCCGCGGGUCACAGGUUCGAAUCCUGUCGGGGGCG